GUAUAUUGAGAGCAAGCUGGCUAUGACAUCUGUCAACCCCACUGAUUGCCAGAAUUGAUUUGCUGGAUCUGUCCUGCUAAGAUGGUGUCCCAUUUCUUCCUGACUCUGCCACAUGUGUUUUUCCAAAAGCUGGACACUUCAUUGGAGAGGAUGAUUUUUCUAGAUAAAGACUACUGUCUACAGAGAAUCAGGUUUUUCUGCUGGAAUACUCAAGGCAUGUUGAGUAGGUUCCGCUGC
ensembl:misc_RNA 7SK 7SK RNA